CAGGGCGAAUGUCUUGUAAUUGGAAUGAUGGUGACCCAAACCCUCACCAGAGUAGCAAUUGGAGGGCAAGUCUGGUGCCAGCAGCCGCGGUAAUUCCAGCUCCAAUAGCGUAUAUUAAACUUGUUGCAGUUAAAAAGCUCGUAGUUGUAUUUUUGCGUUGACGGUUUGACCAUUUGGUUGGUUAUUUCGUUUUCGCUUUUGGGAAUUUCCCUUUUUACUUUGAGAAAAUUAGAGUGUUUCAAGCAGACUUUUGUCUUGAAUACUUCAGCAUGGAAUAAUAGAGUAGGACUUUGGUUCUAUUUUGUUGGUUAUUGAACCUUAGUAAUGGUUAAUAGGAACGGUUGGGGGCAUUCGUAUUUAACUGUCAGAGGUGAAAUUCUUAG
rnacentral:rRNA from 1 species